AUCACGCGACUGCGGCAGUCGGCAGUAGCAUCUGUUUUCUUGGGAUUUGGAUCGCUGUUUUUGCUACUUGCUAGUGGUGUUUAUGUCUGAUCCUUCGUCCUCAAUACUAUUCCCAACUAGACAGAACUAGUUUCAAUGAACAAAGAUAGAACGCGAUGAGACGAUGACGAUGGUAGGGCACUGUCAGGGAGAUAGAUUCACGGACCAACACGUGCUCUCUUCAGCUGCGUUAUACAAAAAAAAACUAUUAGUUCGAGAAAAAACGGAAGAAAUAAAAAAAGGAGAGUUAUUUGCAAAUAUACUCUCUUGUUUCACGAAAAGAAUAUUGAUGCCAAGUUAAUCGGAAAAUAAAAGAAGAAAAGAAUCGUUUAGGUUUGAGUCGUUUGAAUCUAUUUUCUUAAAACAAACUACUAAAUUACAUGUUUGGAUCUAUUUUCUUAUUAAUUUGGUAUGCUGAUGAUGUUUAAGAAUUAUAUAUACUAGAGUCAUUCUCACGUGUAUGAUGAUCAACAAUUGCAUAAAGUUGUAAAGCACAGGAGAAAAGUUGUAAAGUAAAAGUUUGGUGUAAAUCAUGUUUUUUUCACAACAAACCAUUAACUUUAAUAUGUGGUGACAAGAUAGAGCAUUGUGAAAUGUGUGAAACAUAUUCUCAAGGUUUCAAGUAUACCGACUUUAAGUACUGCAGCAUUGAUGUUAAGUGUGCCAUGCUUUCUGAAUCUAUCAUCCAUGAAAGUCAUCCAUGCACCUUGUACUACAUUACCAACACGUAUAUAAAAUGCGCUUCUUGCAAUGAAGGGGGCUGUCGAUCGUUUAGUUGCGAUGACUGCAGCUUUGGACUACAUGAAAGAUGUGCUGUUUUGCCAAAAACAAUACAACACUGGUAUGAUGAACAUCUUAUAUUUUUAUGUUACAACAAAAACAAGAGAGGAGGAGAAUAUUGGUGUGAUAUAUGCGAGGAACAAAUAGAUACCAUGAUCUGGUUCUACACAUGUGAUAGUUGCUGUGUCACGUUCCAUACUGAAUGUGUUCUCGGCGACUUUUCACGUUUUAUGCCGGGACGGAUAGUCACACAUAGAAAUUGGAGGAUCAAAGCGAUGCAAACCAGUCCGGGUUUCUUACCACGUUGUUACAUUUGUCAUACUCAACGCGCAGUUCCCUUUGUUUUAAACUUAUGUAAUCCCCAAAAUAAUGUUUUCAUCUGUUCUUUAGAAUGUUUAGUCAGAACUAGGCUAGGCAGAACCUCAUUUCGUGAAGUUGUGUAUUUUAUUUUAUAUAGAUUUGUAUUAAAUUCAUAUCUACGAAACAAUGAAUAAAUACUGUGUGUGUGUGUGUUUUUUUGAUAGAUUUUUUUUUCGUGAAGCCAUUUCUUACCCAACGGCCUUUCAAAGUAAUCUUGGGCUUACUGAACUGAAUCGACUCGUGUGUGUGUAAAAGAAUCAUUCAUCAUCAUCAGUCAAAGAAACACUAAUGGUAACUCUAGAUCCGUCCAAAUGUUCUCCAUACUAAAUUGAUCUCUUCUUCACUUAGGAUCUCCGUUUUUGUUGUUCCGGCGAGAAGGCGGCGAGUCUGAUUGCGGUGGCGAUGUAGCCGACUUUAUCGGUGUUCACACUGACGAUUGGCCUCGUCAUUACCGCUUUCUUCUUCAUGUAAGCUAAACUCGAUCCGAUCGGAACCCCAACUGAUGUUAUAUUUGCUUGAUUGGUAUCAGCUUGUGGCGUUCUCAGUCCUGGAUCUCUCUCCUCUUGUAACGUGUUCAUUGUAUUUAAAGCUUGAUCAGCAUUGCUAUUUGCUUAUAUAUAUAUAGUGUUUGGUAACAAUGCAUUCUCAUGGAGUUGAUGAAUUAUGUUGUGACUUAUUUAUUUAACUUUUGAACAUGUGUGAGUUCUAUAUCCUGUCAUGAUGUAUCGAAGUAAAGACUCUGGCAUGUCAGUUACUGAAUCAGUACUUUGUAGGUUCACAGAAUGUAAAAUGAUCGGUUUACUACUAGACAGUUGGAUUGUGUAAUUCUCGUUUUUAAGCAAUGAGUUUCAACCUCUAAGAUGGACACGUGCCCUUUAUAUUAAUUUUUUCCUUGGAGUCCGGUGGUCAUAUUGGACUCUUAUUCACAGUUCUGGUAUAGAUUGAAGAAGUUAUCAAAGUGUUGUAUUUGUUAUUUCUUUCUUUCUAACUUGCAUGUUACACAACAUUAUUGAUGCAGCUAUGAAGCUACAUCAUCUAGGAAAAACUGUAGCCUCAAGGUUUGAUCUCGCGACUGCGGCAGUAGCAUCUGUUUUCUUGGGAUUUGGAUCGCUGUUUUUGCUACUUGCUAGUGGUGUUUAUGUCUGAUCCUUCGUCCUCAAUACUAUUCCCAACUAGACAGAACUAGUUUCAAUGAACAAAGAUAGAACGCGAUGAGACGAUGACGAUGGUAGGGCACUGUCAGGGAGAUGGAUUCACGGACCAACACGUGCUCUCUUCAGCUGCGUUAUACAAAAAAAAAACUAUUAGGGGCCUGUUUGUUUCUCCAUCUGGAUGGGUCAUCUGGAUGAAGAUGAGAGUUUUGUUUG